GAUGAAGAACGCAGCGAAAUGCGAUAAGUGAUGUGAAUUGCAGAAUUCAGUGAAUCAUCGAAUCUUUGAACGCACAUUGCGCCCGCCAGUAUUCUGGCGGGCAUGCCUGUUCGAGCGUCAUUUCAACCAUCAAGCCCUGCUUGCGUUGGGGUCCUGCGGCUGCCCGCAGGCCCUGAAAACCAGUGGCGGGCUCGCUAGUCACACCGAGCGCAGUAAUACAUCUCGCUUUGGGCGUGCGGCGGGUUCUUGCCGUUAAACACCCCCUUUUUACCAAGGUUGACCUCGGAUCAGGUAGGAAUACCCGCUGAACUUAAGCAUAUCAAUAAGCGGAGGA
rnacentral:misc_RNA from 1 species